rnacentral:rRNA from 1 species
AGGUUACCUCAAGACUCACGGCUAUCAACCGUAGGCUUUUCUUCACUACUGAAAGUGCUUUACAACCCGCAGGCCUUCUUCACACACGCGGCAUUGCUGGAUCAGGCUUGCGCCCAUUGUCCAAUAUUCCCCA